rnacentral:rRNA from 1 species
CAGCAGCCACGGUAAUACGGAGGGUGCAAGCGUUAAUCGGAAUUACUGGGCGUAAAGCGCACGCAGGCGGUCUGACAAGUCAGAUGUGAAAUCCCCGGGCUUAACCUGGGAGCUGCAUUUGAAACUGUCAGGCUGGAGUCUUGUAGAGGGGGGUGGAAUUCCAGGUGUAGCGGUGAAAUGCGUAGAGAUCUGGAGGAAUACCGGUGGCGAAGGCGGCCCCCUGGACAAAGACUGACGCUCAGGUGCGAAAGCGUGGGGAGCAAACAGGAUUAGUUACCCCUGUAGUCCCUGUCUCUUAUAC